UUUAUAAUCAUCAUCACCGGAGAUUG
rnacentral:sRNA from 1 species